rnacentral:rRNA from 1 species
AUACGGAGGAUGCGAGCGUUAUCCGGAUUUAUUGGGUUUAAAGGGUGCGUAGGCUGUGCGUUAAGUCAGGGGUGAAAUGCCGUCGCUCAACGACGGAGCUGCCCUUGAUACUGGCGUGCUGGAGUACGGAUGCCGUUGGAGGAAUGAGUGGUGUAGCGGUGAAAUGCUUAGAUAUCACUCAGAACACCGAUUGCGAAGGCAUCUGACGAAUCCGUCACUGACGCUGAGGCACGAAAGCGUGGGGAUAGAACAGGAUUAGAUACCCUGGUAUUCCACGCCGUAAACGAUGAUGACUAACCGUCGGCGAUAGACAGCCGGUGGCCGAGCGAAAGCGAUAAGUCAUCCACCUGGGGAGUACGUCGGCAACGAUGAAACUCAAAUGAAUUGACGGGG